rnacentral:rRNA from 1 species
GACGAACGCUGGCGGCGUGCCUAAUACAUGCAAGUCGAACGCACUCUCGUUUAGAUUGAAGGAGCUUGCUCCUGAUUGAUAAACAUUUGAGUGAGUGGCGGACGGGUGAGUAACACGUGGGUAACCUGCCCUAAAGUGGGGGGUAACAUUUGGAAACAGGUGCUAAUACCGCAUAAAACCUAACACCGCAAUGGUGUAGGGUUGAAAAGAUGGUUUCGGCUAUCACUUUAGGAUGGACCCGCGGUGCAUUAGUUAGUUGGUGAGGGUAAAGGCUCACCAAGACCGUGAUGCAUAGCCGACCUGAGAGGGUAAUCGGCCACACUGGGACUGAGACACGGCCCAGACUCCUACGGGAGGCAGCAGUAGGGAAUCUUCCC